rnacentral:rRNA from 1 species
UGGGGAAUUUUGGACAAUGGGCGAAAGCCUGAUCCAGCAAUGCCGCGUGUGUGAAGAAGGCCUUCGGGUUGUAAAGCACUUUUGUCCGGAAAGAAAUCCUUGGCUCUAAUACAGUCGGGGGAUGACGGUACCGGAAGAAUAAGCACCGGCUAACUACGUGCCAGCAGCCGCGGUAAUACGUAGGGUGCAAGCGUUAAUCGGAAUUACUGGGCGUAAAGCGUGCGCAGGCGGUUUGCUAAGACCGAUGUGAAAUCCCCGGGCUCAACCUGGGAACUGCAUUGGUGACUGGCAGGCUAGAGUAUGGCAGAGGGGGGUAGAAUUCCACGUGUAGCAGUGAAAUGCGUAGAGAUGUGGAGGAAUACCGAUGGCGAAGGCAGCCCCCUGGGCCAAUACUGACGCUCAUGCACGAAAGCGUGGGGAGCAAACAGGAUUAGAUACCCUGGUAGUCCACGCCCUAAACGAUGUCAACUGUUGUUGGGAUUCAUUCCUUAGUAACGUAGCUAACGCGUG